CCUACGGGGGGCAGCAGUGAGGAAUAUUGGUCAAUGGACGAGAGUCUGAACCAGCCAAGUAGCGUGAAGGAUGACUGCCCUAUGGGUUGUAAACUUCUUUUAUAUGGGAAUAAAAUGCUCCACGUGUGGGAUUUUGUAUGUACCAUAUGAAUAAGGAUCGGCUAACUCCGUGCCAGCAGCCGCGGUAAUACGGAGGAUCCGAGCGUUAUCCGGAUUUAUUGGGUUUAAAGGGAGCGUAGGUGGAUUGUUAAGUCAGUUGUGAAAGUUUGCGGCUCAAACGUAAAAUUGCAGUUGAAACUGGCAGUCUUGAGUACAGUAGAGGUGGGCGGAAUUCGUGGUGUAGCGGUGAAAUGCUUAGAUAGCACGAAGAACUCCGAUUGCGAAGGCAGUUCACUGGACUGCAACUGACACUGAGGCUCGAAAGUGUGGGUAUCAAACAGGAUUAGAUACCCUUGUAGUC
rnacentral:rRNA from 1 species